rnacentral:tRNA from 1 species
AGGGACUUAGGUUAACUAUUUAAACCAGGGGCCUUCAAAGCCCCAAACAAGAAACACAUCUUAUUCCCUG